UAUAGAGUCUGAGGAUCUCUCAGCAUUAACUGGUCAUGACUUUACUACCAACGGUGAAGUUCUGGGAAGACGUAGAAGCGACGAUCAUCUAGAAGGAAAUGACGGGCCAAACGCGGACGAUUUGCCACCCAGAGAAUCUAUAAAGGCAUACUUAACUGAAAUGGUACGGGAACAUGGAAUAUCAGGAAUUGCAGGAGCAAUAAACGAUGACCUUAAUAAAUUGAAAACUAUUCCGAUCAGUAUAUGUGUAAUUGGCGAAACAGGCGCGGGGAAAUCUUCCUUUAUUAAUUCCAUUAGAGGUUUAAAAGCUUCCGACAAUGGUGCUGCUUGUGUUGGAGUAGGCAGGACAACCAUAACAAUAGCCAAGUAUCCGCAUCCAAGAUAUCCUAAUAUCAUUUACUAUGAUGUACCAGGUCUGGCAUCACUAGACUUCCCUCGGAGUGAGUAUUUGAAAUCAAUACAAAUCAAUACUUACGAUUUCUUCAUUUUAAUUUAUGACGGCAAAUUUAAGGAAAAUCAGAAAUGGCUUCUUGAAGAAAUAAGAAAAACGAACAAGCAAUUGUAUUUUGUGAGAGCCAAGAUUGAUCAAGAUGUUACAAAUCAGAAAAGGGACCACGGCAGUGAACCGAAUGAAACAAUAGAGAAAGUAAGAGAAGAUUGUUACAGAAAUCUUGAAGCCAUCGGGGUGAGCAUUCCUUCGGUGUUUCUCAUCAGCAACCACCAUGUUCAUGAAUAUGAAUUCAACAGUCUAAAAUCACGAUUAAUUAAUGAUGCAGCUGGUCUACAAAAAGAAGCGUUGAUGAUGUCAAUGACAUCUUCGACAAAAUGGGUACUCGAAGAAAAAAAGAAGUUAUUAAAACAAAGAAUAUUUAAAGUC